UAGGGAAUCUUCGGCAAUGGACGAAAGUCUGACCGAGCAACGCCGCGUGAGUGAAGAAGGUUUUCGGAUCGUAAAACUCUGUUGUUAGAGAAGAACAAGGACGUUAGUAACUGAACGUCCCCUGACGGUAUCUAACCAGAAAGCCACGGCUAACUACGUGCCAGCAGCCGCGGUAAUACGUAGGUGGCAAGCGUUGUCCGGAUUUAUUGGGCGUAAAGCGAGCGCAGGCGGUUUCUUAAGUCUGAUGUGAAAGCCCCCGGCUCAACCGGGGAGGGUCAUUGGAAACUGGAAGCCUUGAGUGCAGAAGAGGAGAGUGGAAUUCCAUGUGUAGCGGUGAAAUGCGUAGAUAUAUGGAGGAACGCCAGUGGCGAGGGCGGCUCUCUGGUCUGUAACUGACGCUGAGGCUCGAAAGCGUGGGGAGCAAACAGG
rnacentral:rRNA from 1 species